CCUACGGGUCGCAGCAGUUGCGAAAACUUCACACUGUGGGAAACCACGAUGAGGGGAUUCCAAGUGCCAGCACUAAGUGUUGGCUUUUCACCUGUGUAAAGAGCAGGUGGAAUAAGGGCCGGGUAAGACGGGUGCCAGCCGCCGCGGUAACACCCGCGGCCCGAGUGGUGACCAUUUUUAUUGAGCUUAAAGCGUCCGUAGCCGGUCUGGUAAAUCUCUGGGUAAAUCGAACGGCUCAACCGUUCGAAUACCAGGGAGACUGCUAGACUUGGGGCCGGGAGAGGUCAGAGGUACUCCUGGGGUAGAAGUAAAAUUCUGUAAUCCUAGGAGGACCACCAGUGGCGAAAGCGUCUGACUAGAACGGACCCGACGGUGAGGGACGAAGCCCUGGGGCGCGAACCGGAUUAGAUACCCCCGUAGUC
rnacentral:rRNA from 1 species